rnacentral:rRNA from 1 species
GUGGUCUGGGGGCAGCUUAACAUGCAAGUCGAACGGCAGCACGGACUUCGGUCUGGUGGCGAGUGGCGAACGGGUGAGUAAUACAUCGGAACGUGCCUGGUAGUGGGGGAUAACUACUCGAAAGAGUGGCUAAUACCGCAUGAGAUCUACGGAUGAAAGCAGGGGAUCGCAAGACCUUGUGCUACUAGAGCGGCCGAUGGCAGAUUAGGUAGUUGGUGGGAUAAAAGCUUACCAAGCCAACGAUCUGUAGCUGGUCUGAGAGGACGAUCAGCCACACUGGGACUGAGACACGGCCCAGACUCCUACGGGAGGCAGCAGUGGGGAAUUUUGGACAAUGGGCGAAAGCCUGAUCCAGCAAUGCCGCGUGCAGGAUGAAGGCCUUCGGGUUGUAAACUGCUUUUGUACGGAACGAAAAGCUUUGGGUUAAUACCCUGGAGUCAUGACGGUACCGUAAGAAUAAGCACCGGCUAACUACGUGCCAGCAGCCGCGGUAAUACGUAGGGUGCAAGCGUUAAUCGGAAUUACUGGGCGUAAAGCGUGCGCAGGCGGUUUUGUAAGACAGAGGUGAAAUCCCCGGGCUCAACCUGGGAACUGCCUUUGUGACUGCAAGGCUAGAGUACGGCAGAGGGGGAUGGAAUUCCGCGUGUAGCAGUGAAAUGCGUAGAUAUGCGGAGGAACACCGAUGGCGAAGGCAAUCCCCUGGGCCUGUACUGACGCUCAUGCACGAAAGCGUGGGGAGCAAACAGGAUUAGAUACCCUGGUAGUCCACGCCCUAAACGAUGUCAACUGGUUGUUGGGUCUUCAUUGACUCAGUAACGAAGCUAACGCGUGAAGUUGACCGCCUGGGGGAGUACGGCCGCAAGGUUGAACUCAAAGGAAUUGACGGGGACCCGCACAAGCGGUGGGAUGAUGUGGUUUAAUUCGAUGCAACGGCGAAAAACCUUACCCACCUUUGACAUGGCAGAAAUCCUUUAGAGAUAGAGGGAGUGCUCGAAAGGAGACCUGCACACAGGUGCUGCAUGGCCUGUCGUCAGCUCGUGUCGUGAGAUGUUGGUAGUUCCGGCAACCGAGCCCAAUCUUGCAUUAGUGGCUACGAAGGCCAUCUAUUGAACUGCGGGACCACUGAGGAGGUGGGAAUGACGUCAGUCCUCAUGGCCCUUAUAGGUGGGGCUACACACGUCAUACAAUGGCUGGUACAAAGGGUUGCCAACCCGCGAGGGGGAGCUAAUCCCAUAAAGCCAGUCGUAGUCCGGAUCGCAGUCUGCAACUCGACUGCGUGAAGUCGGAAUCGCUAGUAAUCGUGGAUCAGCAUGUCACGGUGAAUACGUUCCCGGGUCUUGUACACACCGCCCGUCACACCAUGGGAGCGGGUCUCGCCAGAAGUAGGUAGCCUAACCGCAAGGAGGGCGCUACCACGACGGUUAUCGCCCA